UGAGGAAUAUUGGUCAAUGGACGAGAGUCUGAACCAGCCAAGUAGCGUGCAGGAUGACGGCCCUAUGGGUUGUAAACUGCUUUUGUUUGGGAAUAAUCGACAUUACGUGUAAUGUUUUGCAUGUACCAUUCGAAUAAGGACCGGUUAAUUCCGUGCCAGCAGCCGCGGUAAUACGGAAGGUCCAGGCGUUAUCCGGAUUUAUUGGGUUUAAAGGGAGUGUAGGCGGUUGGUUAAGCGUGUUGUGAAAUGUAGAUGCUCAACAUCUGACUUGCAGCGCGAACUGGCUGACUUGAGUACACACAACGUAGGCGGAAUUCAUGGUGUAGCGGUGAAAUGCUUAGAUAUCAUGAAGAACUCCGAUUGCGAAGGCAGCGUACGGGAGUGUUACUGACGCUUAAGCUCGAAGGUGCGGGUAUCGAACAGG
rnacentral:rRNA from 1 species